rnacentral:tRNA from 1 species
GCGGACGUGGCGAAAUUGGUAGACGCACUGUCUUCAGGCGGCAGCGCCUUCGAGUGUGAAGGUUCGAAUCCUUUUGUCCGCA